GAGGGUAUAGCUCAAGUGGUAGAGUGCAUGCUUAGCAUGCACAAGGUCCUGGGUUCAAUCCCCAGUACCCCCU
rnacentral:tRNA from 1 species